rnacentral:rRNA from 1 species
CGGGUGAGUAACACGUAGGUGACCUACCUUUUAGUGGGGGAUAACUCCGGGAAACCGGAGCUAAUACCGCAUGUGGUGGAUGACAUUAAAAAAGUUCAUCAAAGAUGGCCUCUAUUUAUAAGCUAUCGCUAAAAGAAGGGCCUGCGUUCCAUUAGCUUGUUGGUGGGGUAAUGGCCUACCAAGGCUACGAUGGAUAGCUGGUCUGAGAGGAUGAUCAGCCACACUGGGACUGAGACACGGCCCAGACUCC